GUUUGUUUUGGGUUUGGAGAAUUCUAUAUGUAUGUUCGUUUAGCAUGGUUUUGACUGCCAUUCAUUUAUAAAAUAUUUAAAUAGCUGGUUUAUCUCUUUAAGACCCAAAUAAGGUGGUAUUGUAUUUUAUGUACCUGUGCUAUAGCCACAAAAUUUCCUCAUCAUCUCCUAAAAUACAACUGAGCUCUUACUUAUGUGCACACACAGAAUGAAAAACAGAGACAAUGAUAUAUCAACCAAAUAAAUAUUGGAAUUAAAGCUGGAUACUGCUCAUUAGCCACCCCACUUUCUGAAAAGGCUG
rnacentral:lncRNA from 1 species